rnacentral:rRNA from 1 species
UACGAAGGGGGCUAGCGUUGUUCGGAAUUCCUGGGCGUAAAGCGCGCGCAGGCGGUUCGAUAAGUUGGGGGUGAAAUCCCCGGGCUCAACCCGGGAAUUGCCUUCAAGACUGUCGAGCUAGAGGACGAGAGAGGUGAGUGGAAUUCCACGUGUAGCGGUGAAAUGCGUAGAGAUGUGGAGGAACACCAGUGGCGAAGGCGACUCUUUGGCCUGUAACUGACGCUGAGGCGCGAAAGCGUGGGGAGCAAACAGG